ACGCACGCUGGCGGCGUGCUUAACACAUGCAAGUCGAACGGAAAGGCCCUGCUUUUGUGGGGUGCUCGAGUGGCGAACGGGUGAGUAACACGUGAGUAACCUGCCCUUGACUUUGGGAUAACUUCAGGAAACUGGGGCUAAUACCGGAUAGGAGCUCCUGCUGCAUGGUGGGGGUUGGAAAGUUUCGGCGGUUGGGGAUGGACUCGCGGCUUAUCAGCUUGUUGGUGGGGUAGUGGCUUACCAAGGCUUUGACGGGUAGCCGGCCUGAGAGGGUGACCGGCCACAUUGGGACUGAGAUACGGCCCAGACUCCUACGGAGGCAGCAGUGGGGAAUAUUGCACAAUGGGCGGAAGCCUGAUGCAGCAACGCCGCGUGCGGGAUGACGGCCUUCGGGUUGUAAACCGCUUUCGCCUGUGACGAAGCGUGAGUGACGGUAAUGGGUAAAGAAGCACCGGCUAACUACGUG
rnacentral:rRNA from 1 species